CCCGAUAAAAUUCACAAAUAGUCCAUAGCGGAGAGUUCCAUACUCGGACAUCACUCAUCUUUUGCACAAGCCAUAGCCAUACGACACUGGUCUGAAAAAGCCAACGGCAGAAGAAAAUUGCAGUCGAAGAUUUGGAGCCUUUCUCUAGUCUUGAAGUCUGUGAUGUUGAAGCUGUGAGACGGACCAACUGAUGUAUGAAGCCGACUUAAGACAUCUUGCGUCACAGGGUCAACCAACUAACAUCUAAGGAAUCCAAGGCUGCUGGGCACAUCUUGCGUUCAGUCUUGUAUUCACACAUCGAUGACUUGGUCCAACCUGCCAGCGGUGCACGUUACUAGAAAGAGCAAAUGAAGAAAAUAAAUGUACAUGUAUUAAUUUAAACAUUUAACACUUAGUUAUUCAAUUGCAAUCUCCAAGUGAAAGCUACUACAAAGCUGAUAUUUGAAGUCAAUGAUUCUCCAGAAAACUUGACCUGGACUCCACAAUUUCAAAGAUAAAAUGAGGAAAAUUGGAAGUAUUUCAAAAGGUGGAUCUCCAGCCCUUCUAUAGGUCAAACUGACUUUCUAGCCAUUCUGGAAGCACAUGAAUUCCUGAUUAAUUACUCUGAACUACUAUGCAAAAGCACUGAAGGUGUGGUAAAUCUCUAAUUCUCACCCAACAACCUCAUCCAAAAGCCUUCCUGGUUAAAAAUUUUAUUUAUUAAGAGUCCCUUGUGAUAUUUGAUCAGCUUCCAAACAAGACACUGCAUUUCAAAUGUUUCUCUGCUCUUUAUUGGACAUAAUUUUUCUCCGAACUGCCAGAUUACUUUUUGUAUUUGUUGAAAUGAAAUUCAUAUUUUUUUUUACGAAAUUGAAAUAGAAAAAGUUUUAGCCACAUCCAUUUGUCUGAAAAGGGGAACUUUUCCAGCUGAACUUUGAAAUAAAGUAUUAAGUAUCCAAGUUUUUCCCUUGUGAGUUAGAUUACUUCUUAAAUGCCUAAUCUGUUGAUGCUUAGCGAAAGGGCACUAUUGUUGAUCUCAAUUUACAUUCACAAGAAUUAAAGCAGGAAUAAUUCCGAUUACAAAUCUGAUAUUAUGUUGUCGCAGCGCCGUGUUUUCAGGCAAAUUUAUGCACACUGGAGUAACUUUCACGAGUGCAGUGUUCGAAGCUUUCAAAAGAUAAUAUUCAGACUUUAGGCAGGUAACACAAUUUCAGAGCAUCAUUUUUACCUUGUCAAGUGAUCUCUGAUAGCCAAUAACACUUCCACAGGAGUUUCA